CUCUGUCUCCUGGCAAUGUCUUGCAGCAGGUGAGAUUCCAAAAGAAGCUGAAGGAAGAAAAUAAGCAGGCGAGUCAGUAGGCACAUGGACCCUUGGACACCAAGCUGGUAAAAGCACAGUGCACUUAGUGAUGUCUCUCUCCUCCUGCUCUCUCAGCCUGUGACUCUGACACAUCAGGACAGCAUCACUGGAGAGUAUUUUUCUCCUUUAUUGUGUUUAACAGUGGAUUGGUUGAUCCACAUCUUCUGGGGGUUACUGGAGGAGGCCUGAUAAUCACAGGAGCAAAUAGGCAACUAUUCCCAGUAGGACACUCAAGCAAACCGCAGUCUGGACAUGCUGCUCACCAGGGAAUUGCUCAGGAGCCUCAGGGGAGGAACCAAAACCAGGUUUCACCUGGACAAGUGACAAGCCUCUUCUGUGGAC
rnacentral:lncRNA from 1 species